GCCCUUUUCCGGUUGAUCCUGCCGGAGGCCAUUGCUAUCGGGGUCCGAUUUAGCCAUGCUAGUCGAACGAGUUGAGACUCGUGGCGACCAGCUCAGUAACACGUGGCCAACCCACCCUGUAGACCGGAAUAGUCUCGGGAAACUGAGGGCAAUACCGGAUAGGCGAUCCGCGCUGGGAUGCGGGAUCGCCGAAAGGUGAGCCGCUACAGGACGGGGCUGCGGCCGAUUAGGUAGACGGUGGGGUAACGGCCCACCGUGCCAGUAAUCGGUACGGGUCAUGAGAGUGAGAGCCCGGAGACGGACUCUGAGACAAGAGUCCGGGCCCUACGGGGCGCAGCAGGCGCGAAACCUUUACACUGCACGCGAGUGCGAUAGGGGGACCCCGAGUGCGGAGGCAUAGUGCCUUCGCUUUUCUGGACUGUAGGGACGUCCAGGAAGAAGGGCUGGGCAAGACCGGUGCCAGCCGCCGCGGUAAUACCGGCAGCCCGAGUGAUGGCCGAUAUUAUUGGGCCUAAAGCGUCCGUAGCUGGCCGCGUACGUCCGUC
rnacentral:rRNA from 1 species